CAAAGGAAUUGACGGGGCCGCACAAGCGGUGGAUUAUGUGGUUUAAUUCGAAGCAACGCGAAGAACCUUACCAGGGCUUGACAUCCUGCUAACGAAGUAGAGAUACAUCAGGUGCCCUUCGGGGAAAGCAGAGACAGGUGGUGCAUGGUUGUCGUCAGCUCGUGUCGUGAGAUGUUGGGUUAAGUCCCGCAACGAGCGCAACCCCUAUUGUUAGUUGCUACGCAAGAGCACUCUAGCGAGACUGCCGUUGACAAAACGGAGGAAGGUGGGGACGACGUCAAAUCAUCAUGCCCCUUAUGUCCUGGGCUACACACGUAAUACAAUGGCGGUCAACAAAGGGAGGCAAAGCCGCGAGGCAGAGCGAACCCCAAAAAGCCGUCCCAGUUCGGAUCGCAGGCUGCAACCCGCCUGCGUGAAGUCGGAAUCGCUAGUAAUCGCGGAUCAGAAUGCCGCGGUGAAUACGUUCCCGGGCCUUGUACACACCGCCCGUCACACCAUGAGAGUCGGGAACACCCGAAGUCCGUAGCCUAACCGAAAGGAGGGCGCGGCCGAAGGUGGGUUCGAUAAUUGGGGUGAAGUCGUAACAAGGUAACCGUA
rnacentral:rRNA from 1 species